rnacentral:rRNA from 1 species
UGGAUCCAGACUUUGAUCCUGGCUCAGGAUGAACGCUAGCGGCAGGCUUAACACAUGCAAGUCGAGGGGCAGCAUAAUGGAUAGCAAUAUCUAUGGUGGCGACCGGCGCACGGGUGCGUAACGCGUAUGCAACCUACCUUUAACAGGGGGAUAACACUGAGAAAUUGGUACUAAUACCCCAUAAUAUCAUAGAAGGCAUCUUUUAUGGUUGAAAAUUCCGAUGGUUAGAGAUGGGCAUGCGUUGUAUUAGCUAGUUGGUGGGGUAACGGCUCACCAAGGCGACGAUACAUAGGGGGACUGAGAGGUUAACCCCCCACACUGGUACUGAGACACGGACCAGACUCCUACGGGAGGCAGCAGUGAGGAAUAUUGGUCAAUGGACGCAAGUCUGAACCAGCCAUGCCGCGUGCAGGAUGACGGCUCUAUGAGUUGUAAACUGCUUUUGUACGAGGGUAAACGCAGAUACGUGUAUCUGUCUGAAAGUAUCGUACGAAUAAGGAUCGGCUAACUCCGUGCCAGCAGCCGCGGUAAUACGGAGGAUUCAAGCGUUAUCCGGAUUUAUUGGGUUUAAAGGGUGCGUAGGCGGUUUGAUAAGUUAGAGGUGAAAUUUCGGGGCUCAACCCUGAACGUGCCUCUAAUACUGUUGGGCUAGAGAGUAGUUGCGGUAGGCGGAAUGUAUGGUGUAGCGGUGAAAUGCUUAGAGAUCAUACAGAACACCGAUUGCGAAGGCAGCUUACCAAACUAUAUCUGACGUUGAGGCACGAAAGCGUGGGGAGCAAACAGGAUUAGAUACCCUGGUAGUCCACGCAGUAAACGAUGAUAACUCGUUGUCGGCGAUACACAGCCGGUGACUAAGCGAAAGCGAUAAGUUAUCCACCUGGGGAGUACGUUCGCAAGAAUGCAACUCAAAUGAAUUGACGGAAU